rnacentral:rRNA from 1 species
UACAGGGGGGGCAAGCGUUGUUCGGAAUUACUGGGCGUAAAGGGCCAGUAGGCGGCCAACUAAGUCCGACGUGAAAUCCCCAAGCUUAACUUGGGAACUGCGUCGGAUACUGGAUGGCUUGAAUUCGGGAGAGGGAUGCAGAAUUCCAGGUGUAGCGGUGAAAUGCGUAGAUAUCUGGAGGAACACCGGUGGCGAAGGCGGCAUUCUGGACCAUUACUGACGCUGAGUAGCGAAAGCCAGGGGAGCAAACGGG